rnacentral:rRNA from 1 species
GAUGAACGCUGGCGGCGUGCUUAACACAUGCAAGUCGAACGAAGCAGAUUGAGAUCUCCGGAAGGAUAUCUGACUGAGUCGCGGACGGGUGAGUAACGCGUGGGUAACCUGCCUCAUACAGGGGGAUAACAGUUAGAAAUGACUGCUAAUACCGCAUAAGCGCACAGUACCGCAUGGUACGGUGUGAAAAACUCCGGUGGUAUGAGAUGAACCAGCGUCUGACUAGCUAGUUGGAGGGGUAACGGCCUACCAAGGCGACGAUCAGUAGCCGACCUUAGAGAGUUACCGGCCCCAUUGGGCCUGGGACACGGCCCGAACUCCUACAGGGGGCAGCAGGCGGGAAUAUUGCACAAUGGGCGAACGCCUCAUGCAGCUACGCCGCGUGAGUGAAGAAUUAUUUCGGUAUGUAAAACUCUAUCUGCGGGGGAGAAGAUGACGGUACCUGACUCAGAAGCACCGGCUAAAUACGUGCCAGCCGCCGCAGUAAGAC